CACGUAGGGCGCGAGCGUUGUCCGGAAUUAUUGGGCGUAAAGAGCUCGUAGGCGGCCUGUUGCGUCCGCUGUGAAAGCCCGGGGCUUAACCCCGGGUCGCAGUGGAUACGGGCAGGCUAGAGGUAGGGAGGGGAGAAUGGAAUUCCCGGUGUAGCGGUGAAAUGCGCAGAUAUCGGGAGGAACACCGGUGGCGAAGGCGGUUCUCUGGGCCUUACCUGACGCUGAGGAGCGAAAGCGUGGGGAGCGAACAGG
rnacentral:rRNA from 1 species